GCAAGGACAAGCAAGUCGAGGGACUCCCGGUACACCUUUGCUACACAUACAUGGGGCAAUCUACAAAGAGGAAAUACUAAAGCUCCUCGAGGCUGUCUGGCUUCCAAAUGAAGUUACAGUUCUACAUUGCAAGGGACACCAGAAGGGAGACAACCCUACAGCGUGAGGAAGUCGUCUAGCAGACAAAGCAACCAAGAUAGCAGCUAAUAAGGAGGUGCCAAUAUGGGAGAGACACCAGGGCUGUUCUGUGCUGGGGAAAGCCUUCUAGAACCAAUGGCUUCCCAAACACCCAUCUAGGCUGCAUCCCCAUCAGGCCUUCUUCAGCUUGCUGGCCCCACACAGCCACCUGCCCAUGAUGCCCAGCAGCUUCCCACAGAGCCACAGAGUGCCCAGUGUAACCAUCAGCAGGAACAAGAUGACAUCCAGCAGCAGUGCUCCUAAAGAAAAUGACUCUUUUGGCACAACAUAUGAGCUAAGAACAUGACCUUUUUGUACAUUUGAGCAAGUUGAUGAGACUACUCCUGACCAGAGUUUACAGGUUGGACUGCUGACAGCUUUCAAGUUCCACCUUCUUAGUCUUCUCUGACUCACCUGGGCAAACUGAAAAAAAAAAAAGCCUCAACAUGCUCUCCCCUGUGUUAGCAAGAUUUUCAAGCCAAGCAAGCCGGAUCCAAGUAAGGGAAUCCUCACCUCCAUCCCACUCAAAAACUUCCAUAAAUGGCAUAUAGAGACAAGUAUGAGUUUAGCCUUUAAGUCACCCUGGUCA